GCAAUCCUGUUCCUGCAGAAAUUCUCAAUAGCCUUGUGGCAUUUCUGACAGGGAAUGGCUCCACGAAGAUCUUGCAUGUAUUUAAUCCUGGCCCAAUAAGAGCCAUUCCGCCUAAGAGAAGGUUAAGAAGAUAAUUGGCAAUGCCGUCAGGAGGUUUGGCUGUCUUCUGAAAUUCCCUGGGCCAGUGAUGGGUGACAAUAACCACCCAGUUGCACAAACUUCAAAUCCAGGUUUCUGUUAAAGUGCAUUCUUUUGAGGUUGCUGAAGUAUUCAAUUAACCAUUCCUCAGACUACAAUACAUCUGAACUUCCAGGAAUAUGACUUACUAAGGUUACUAUUGUAAAAAAGUGGAAAGCUUUUCAGAUCGAAGUCAUACAUUUAAUUAUCUCAUAUCUUGAUCAAGAACUGCCCUUACAAGUAUAGGAGACUGUUGAGCAAAUGACAACUAGAUCAUUAUAUGAACUCAUCCAGCAUCAACAAAGAGAACCUAUGGACACUUUUGCGAUUACUCAGACAGUGGUAGUAAUUGGACUCAACCCUUCUUACUGGAGCACCACGUAGACAGUGUGGGCUUCCUAUGAAAGACCCCACUGCUGUUCACCCGUGAUGGAGACUCUCAAAUACAACUGGCUUGAGAGGCCUGUUCAUAACUCCGAUCCACAACCAAAGAUAGAACUGGCACUUCUGGGUGCUUCUCGGUCAAGAGAUUUCCUGGCAGAACAAUUUCUGGUUGAAACAAUUGGAGUGAUAGAAAAUGAAGAAAGAAAGAAACAAUUGAAGCUGAUACAUGCCAGCUCAAGGCAUGUAG